AGACUCUGGAAAGUGGAUUGCACGUUUAUAUGCCAUCCCACCGACGAGGAAACCCUACACGCAUAGGCUCGUGUAUUUGAGCCAAGCUGUGGGGGAAUCUUUCAGGUUCCAUGACAGAGAGGGGCCA
rnacentral:ncRNA from 1 species